rnacentral:rRNA from 1 species
UUAAAGUUGUUGCAGUUAAAAAGCUCGUAGUUGGAUUUGUGGCGGUCCCUGCGGUCCAGUCUUGGUACUGUCGGGGGCUGCCAUCCUUGGGUGGAUCCUGUGUGGCAUUAGGUUGUCGUGCAGGGGAUGCCCAUCGUUUACUGUGAAAAAAUUAGAGUGUUCAAAGCAGGCUUAUGCCGUUGAAUAUAUUAGCAUGGAAUAAUGAGAUAGGACUUUGGUACUAUUUUGUUGGUUUGCGCACCGAGGUAAUGAUUAAUAGGGACAGUUGUGGGUAUUCGUAUUCCAUUGUCAGAGGUGAAAUUCUUGGAUUUCUGGAAGACGAACGAAUGCGAAAGCAUUUACCAAGGAUGUUUUCAUUAAUCAAGAACGAAAGUUAGGGGAUCGAAGAUGAUUAGAUACCAUCGUAGUCGUCAUAGCUGUUUCCU